AUGGGCGCCCCGGGUCCAGGGCCCGCGGAGCCGCUCUCGGGGCGGAGACCUUGCCCCCAGGGGCACGUCAGCGGUCCUGAGGUGAGGCUCCUGCAGAGCACUCUGGGCCGCGUGUGUCUCUCCCUGCGUGGGCAGGCAGUGUCGGUGGCCGGAGCGAGGGUGUUUUCCCAUCGGGGUGAGAGGGAGAGCCCCAGGGUGGGCCUGGGGGCGGAAUCGGACUCGGGGUUGGGGUGGACUCUUCUGAAGCUGGGAGGGGUGCGGGUGGGCAGGGCCUUAGGGAGCCUGAGGGAGGCGCGGUUCCUGGGGGAAGGGUGUGGCGAGGCGGCGGCAGCCCGCGUGCGCUGUGGCGCCCCAGCGAAGGGGCAGUGCUGGCCACUCGUGUGGCCCUUUGGCUGCUGGCACCCAGUGAGAGGGGGGAGGCCAGGGACAGGUGGCAGCCAGGCUGCCCACAGGCCCUGGGCGGUGGGGGGCCCGGCCCCUGUGCCUUGGGCAGCCUGGCCCCUUGCUGAGGCGUGCUUGCGCGUGUCCGUUGUCGCCCUCACCCAGCUGCUGCGGCGGAGAGACGGAGGCCAGCGCGGGGAGCGGAAGCCGGAGCCUGUCGGGAGCGACCCCGGGAAGGCCAGUCCCUCCUGCCGGUGGGAGGCGUGUUGGCGUGCGGCCGGUGGCGGGAUCGAUGGCCACCUGGUAGGCGAUGCUGCUGCGGCGGAGAAACGGAGGCCAGCGCGGGGAGCGGAAGCCGGAGCCUGUCGGGAGCGACCCCGGGAAGGCCAGUCCCUCCUGCCGGAGGGUGGCGUGUUGGCGUGCGGCCGGUGGCGGGAUCGAUGGCCACCUGGUAGGCGUGCCAAGGUAGCCCCCGGGGCGCGUGUGUGGCGCCCGGACCCGCACCCUCUGCUCCCGGGGGUGGAGCUGACCUGCUUGCCCGCGGUUGGGCCGGGAGCUCCGGGACGCGCCGGAGGGAGCUGGCUGGCCGUCCCGGCGGUGGGGGCUGUGGCGGUGGCCGUCCCACGGGUGUGCCCGUGCUCGGAUCGAUGAUGACACCCACAAACGCAUUCCUUGGAAAAUCUGAACAAAAUGAGUGAGAACUCACUACCGUCUCCUCAUCGCAAACUGAGGUCCGGCACGUGGCUCCCACAGGGGACGUCGGGGGAGGUCCCGUUGCCUUGGCUCCCUUGGGUGCGUGCAGCCCUGGGGCGCAGGUGGGGGCAGGCAGGCCUCCGGU
rnacentral:lncRNA from 9 species